UGUGCGAAGAAGGCCUUCGGGUUGUAAAGCACUUUUGUCAGGGAAAAAAUCCUUUGGGCUAAUACCCUAGGGGGAUGACGGUACCUGAAGAAUAAGCACCGGCUAACUACGUGCCAGCAGCCGCGGUAAUACGUAGGGUGCAAGCGUUAAUCGGAAUUACUGGGCGUAAAGCGUGCGCAGGCGGUUGUGUAAGACAGGUGUGAAAUCCCCGGGCUUAACCUGGGAAUUGCAUUUGUGACUGCACGACUAGAGUGUGUCAGAGGGGGGUGGAAUUCCACGUGUAGCAGUGAAAUGCGUAGAUAUGUGGAGAAACACCAAUGGCGAAGGCAGCCCCCUGGGAUAACACUGACGCUCAUGCACGAAAGCGUGGGGAGCAAACAGGAUUAGAUACCCUGGUAGUCCACGCCCUAAACGA
rnacentral:rRNA from 1 species